AUCUUCUGCAUGAGCAGCCGCAGGUCCUCCGCCUGCCAAAGAGCCGGGUCCAGACGUCCAGCAGAAGCAAAGAGGAUUCGAUUAAACGUUGAGCGCUAGCGAACAAGGACCGCAGAGCCGGCAAUCCUCUGUCUGAAAUGAGCCUGAGAGGAAACAACAUCCGUCAUGAGCGUCUGGAUUAUCCACCAGAGGAAGGCGACCUGUCGUGAUGGGAAACCUCUGGGAGUCCAGCUUCGGCUGCGGCCGCUUCACUCCUUUCCUCUUGGCAGCCGGAACGUCGGCCAGCUUGGACACCUCGCCAUCCUCAGCUGCAGCACAACGACAGGAGGCCGUCACCAGACGUCACGUUUAUCUCCGCUGAUGUUUAAAAAACUCUCACCUUCUCCAAACGAGUCGUCCUGCGACUGAGCUGCCCCAGGGGACAAAGGCGGAGGAAGAGGAGGGAAAGCUUCAUCCUCCAAGUUGGACAAGUCGCUCAUCCCGUCGUCCUGCUGGUCGUUCAUGGCGGCUGAAUCCUGAGAGAAAACAAGCAACCGCCAUCAGCUUUAAGAUUCAAACUGCUAAAUACUACAGCUGAAUAUUUACGGGUUUUAAUCAGGUUUUUAUGUUCAAUCACAGCAUUAGGACCAUCUGGAAUAAACAAACUGAGUCGAUAAUAUAUCUGAUGUGUUGGAUGGAUGCUAGAAAUACAGUGAUGAGAAAGUGAUGAAAUAUGAGGAAAACAGAUGAAAACGGAGUCACGAUAUUCAGUAACUAGUUUUCUGUGUUAUGCAGCUCAAGUUUCUGUUUCAUUUAUAUAAUUUACAUAUACUUUUAAUUCAUGUUUUACAUAUUUAAAUAUUUCAUUAUUCA